UCCCCGUUGCCGAGGCAGUCUAGCUAGAAAAAUUCAACUAACUAUAAGGGUUGCGCUCGUUAAUGGACUUAACCAAACAUCUCACGACACGAGCUGACGACGGCCAUGCACCACCUGUCAUCGAGUUCCAAAAGGCACAGCUCCCUUUCGGGAGCCUUCCCGAGAUGUCAAACCCUGGUAAGGUUCUUCGUUUAGCUUCGAAUUAAACAACACGCUCCACCGCUUGUGCGGGUCCCCGUCAAUUCCUUUAUGUUUUAAGCUUGCGCUCGUACUCCACAGGCGGGAUGCUUAACGCGUUAGCUUCGCAACUCACCGGAUAGAUACGGUGAACUGCUAGCAUCCAUAGUUUACGGCGUGGACUAC
rnacentral:misc_RNA from 1 species